rnacentral:rRNA from 1 species
CAGCCGCCGCGGUAAUACGAAGGGGGCUAGCGUUGCUCGGAAUUACUGGGCGUAAAGCGUGCGCAGGCGGUUUUGUAAGACAGGCGUGAAAUCCCCGGGCUCAACCUGGGAAUGGCGCUUGUGACUGCAAAGCUAGAGUGCGGCAGAGGGGGAUGGAAUUCCGCGUGUAGCAGUGAAAUGCGUAGAUAUGCGGAGGAACACCGAUGGCGAAGGCAAUCCCCUGGGCCUGCACUGACGCUCAUGCACGAGAGCGUGGGGAGCAAACAGGAUUAGAUACCCCCGUAGUCCCUGUCUCUUAUAC